rnacentral:rRNA from 1 species
GAUGAACGCUGGCGGCGUGCCUAAUACAUGCAAGUCGAGCGAACGGACGAGAAGCUUGCUUUUCUGAUGUUAGCGGCGGACGGGUGAGUAACACGUGGAUAACCUACCUAUAAGACUGGGAUAACUUCGGGAAACCGGAGCUAAUACCGGAUAAUAUUUUGAACCGCAUGGUUCAAAAGUGAAAGACGGUCUUGCUGUCACUUAUAGAUGGAUCCGCGCUGCAUUAGCUAGUUGGUAAGGUAACGGCUUACCAAGGCAACGAUGCAUAGCGGACUUGAGGGGGUGACCGGCACAACGGGAACUAGGACACGUCCCGAAUUCGAAGGGGAGGCAGAGGUGGGAAUAUUGGCGCAAGGGGGGAAAGCUGGACGAGGCAACGCGGGGUGGGUGAUGAAGGCUUUCGGAUCGUAAAACUCUGUUAUGAGGGAAAAACACAGGUGUAAGUAACUGUGCAGAUCUGGAGGGUACCAAAGAAGAAGGCCACGGCUAAUUCGUU